AACAGGAUUAGAUACCCUGGUAGUCCACGCCGUAAACGAUGUCGACUUGGAGGUUGUUCCCUUGAGGAGUGGCUUCCGGAGCUAACGCGUUAAGUCGACCGCCUGGGGAGUACGGCCGCAAGGUUAAAACUCAAAUGAAUUGACGGGGGCCCGCACAAGCGGUGGAGCAUGUGGUUUAAUUCGAUGCAACGCGAAGAACCUUACCUACUCUUGACAUCCAGAGAACUUAGCAGAGAUGCUUUGGUGCCUUCGGGAACUCUGAGACAGGUGCUGCAUGGCUGUCGUCAGCUCGUGUUGUGAAAUGUUGGGUUAAGUCCCGCAACGAGCGCAACCCUUAUCCUUUGUUGCCAGCGGUUCGGCCGGGAACUCAAAGGAGACUGCCAGUGAUAAACUGGAGGAAGGUGGGGAUGACGUCAAGUCAUCAUGGCCCUUACGAGUAGGGCUACACACGUGCUACAAUGGCGCAUACAAAGAGAAGCGGCCUCGCGAGAGCAAGCGGACCUCAUAAAGUGCGUCGUAGUCCGGAUCGGAGUCUGCAACUCGACUCCGUGAAGUCGGAAUCGCUAGUAAUCGUAGAUCAGAAUGCUACGGUGAAUACGUUCCCGGGCCUUGUACACACCGCCCGUCACACCAUGGGAGUGGGUUGCAAAAGAAGUAGGUAGCUUAACCUUCGGGAGGGCGCUUACCACUUUGUGAUUCAUGACUGGGGUGAAGUCGUAACAAGGUAACC
rnacentral:rRNA from 1 species